rnacentral:rRNA from 4 species
UCCGUAGGUGAACCUGCGGUAGGAUCAUUG